CAACUUUUAACGGUGGAUCUCUUGGCUCGUGCAUCGAUGAAGAACGCAGCCAGGUGCGAUAAGUAGUGUGAAUUGCAGAAUUCAGUGAAUCAUCGAAUCUUUGAACGCAAAUGGCGCUC
rnacentral:rRNA from 2 species